CAUACCAUUUUCAAAAGUAGACAACUCAAAAUAUUGCAAAUGGGGUACGUCCAGUCUUUUUUAGUAGCCACUUAGUCACAAACACUGGCCAAAAUUAGCAUUUAGUUCUUUGCAUUUUUCACACACAAACAUAUAUGAAUGCUACCUUUGGCCAGUGUUUGUGACAAACACUGGCCAAAUAUUAGUUUUUUGCUUUUUUCACACAAAAACAAAUAUGAAUGCUAAAUUUGGCCAGUGUUUGUGACUAAGUGGCUACUAAAGAAGACCCCACUUUCAAUACCUUGGGUUGUCUACGUUUUCAAAUGGUAUG